rnacentral:rRNA from 1 species
GAUGAAUGCUGGCGGCGUGCCUAAUACAUGCAAGUCGAGCGAACAGACGAGGAGCUUGCUCCUCUGACGUUAGCGGCGGACGGGUGAGUAACACGUGGAUAACCUACCUAUAAGACUGGGAUAACUUCGGGAAACCGGAGCUAAUACCGGAUAAUAUAUUGAACCGCAUGGUUCAAUAGUGAAAGACGGUUUUGCUGUCACUUAUAGAUGGAUCCGCGCCGCAUUAGCUAGUUGGUAAGGUAACGGCUUACCAAGGCAACGAUGCGUAGCCGACCUGAGAGGGUGAUCGGCCACACUGGAACUGAGACACGGUCCAGACUCCUACGGGAGGCAGCAGUAGGGAAUCUUCCGCAAAGGGCGAAAGCCUGACGGAGCAACGCCGCGUGAGUGAUGAAGGUCUUCGGAUCGUAAAACUCUGUUAUUAGGGAAGAACAAAUGUGUAAGUAACUAUGCACGUCUUGACGGUACCUAAUCAGAAAGCCACGGCUAACUACGUG